UUUUUCUUUCUUUCUCAAAACUAUGAAAAUAAUGUAUCUAGACUUUACUUCUUUCAUCAUCAAGGAUUUACAAGUUUGUUCAAUAUUGCUCAAAAGUGUCAAGUAUCGAGAAUUGUGAUCGAUUAUAAUCACUUAUUGGUGAGCUCACUGUAUACUCAUUUGACUUCCUAAUUUUUCAAUAGGCGUUUUCGUGUGUACAUUUUGAGUUAAUUUGUGUAAUGUGGCUAAUCGAUUGUUUUUCUUGACAUCAUCACGUUUUUCAGCUCAUUUGAAUCCGUAUGUUUUACGGGUUACGUUCUUUUUUCUUAGAAUAAAUUGUUUACAUCGACAGCAACUACAUGCUGACCAGACCUUGUAUAUUAUCUAAGUAUUGUUUGUUCAGGAUCAGAUGUGGUGCCAAGAUUUAUUUUGUCUGACAAAAAAGUUGGAUGUUGUAAAAUUGAAAUAAUUGCUUGUUGGAUGAAGAGGCAUGCAUACACAAUAAUUGACGAUAUUUCUGUUAACAAAUAGAAAAGUAUUCAGUUGCAUAAUAUUUUUUUUUUCUUUUUUUUUCAUACUCAUAACUUGUAUACCAGUAUUGCGCGCUUCGACCAUCUAUGUCUAAGGCAUUUUGUUACUUAUUUAUUGGUUUUAUUUUCAUCCAAAGACUAAAAAAGUUUACAUUGAUAGAAAAUCUCAUAGAUCAUCAGGAUUUAGGAAUUAUUUUCUAAGCCAUGCUAUUUUCAGUUUCACAUGUGUUACGAAUAACUUUUAUUAGAUCAUUCAUUUAUUGAAUUACUAUAUAUUAGUUAAAUAUGGUUAAUUGUAUAAGUUUUCGAUAGAUUGGGGUAAAUAAAUCUACAUUUUAGUUAUAUAUACAGUUAAAUGCAGUUGUGAAACAUUUUUCCACACAUAAAUUAGAGUAUUCGUGUACGAUUUUACACACAACUUUUGCUCCUGAAAUAUUGGGUUUUCUCUUAGUCGAUUAGCUUUUCAUGUAACUUGUGCCAUUCUCUAAAAAAUCUCGUCGUCGCUUCCAUUGUCCCAAAACUGAUAUAGCCUUCAGUGUUUGGCCUGGCCUUUUGAGGCCGCUCUAUAGUCAAAUAGUAUAUAUUAUAAUGAUUCUUAAUUAGUCAAAUGGUUACCUCGCUUUGUUAAUAAUUACUAUAUUAGAUGUGUUUCAUAAUCUCCGUCGAGGAGACAGAAUCUCCUGAAUUUGGCUGAUAUAAGGUACAAAUGCAUGUGACUACAUUGAUACUUUAGUUUACUACAUAUAUAUGAUACUUAAUAUUAUCUGCAGUUUUUAUCUCAUCAACUUCAAUUAUUGCUGCCUCAUUACAUACAUUAGAAGUUAUAAUAUAUGUACUCUAAAAUUAUAUAUACUCUUAUUCAGUUAACGAGGCGAAGUAUAUUAAAUCCAAGACAAAAUGAAAAGAGAAGCUAAAAUCCUAAAAGUGGAGCAUCAAACAUGUAAAUGCAUUUUUACUUAUUUCGACGGAAUAGAGCUUUCGUUGAACCAUUCAUACAUGGAGUGAUCGAGCUAUUGUUUGGACCGUAUUAACGGAUCAACAUGUAUUCAUGUUUUGAUAUCAUGUUAAUUUGUUAUGGGGUUCCAAUUCUAAAUCAAUUUGGCAAUAAAUAAAUUAACUCAUGUCUUUUAUGUAUUACUCAAAUCCAUUUUCAUCUCUGAUGUGAG
rnacentral:misc_RNA from 1 species